rnacentral:rRNA from 1 species
AACGAACGCUGGCGGCAGGCUUAACACAUGCAAGUCGAACGAUAUAGUGGCAGACGGGCGAGUAACGCGUGGAAACGUGCCUUUCACUACGGAAUAGCUUUUGGAAACGAAAGGUAAUACCGUAUACGCCCUCCGGGGGAAAGAUUUAUCGGUGAAAGAUCGGUCCGCGUUAGAUUAGCUAGUUGGUGAGGUAACGGCUCACCAAGGCUACGAUCUAUAGCUGGUCUGAGAGGAUGAUCAGCCACACUGGGACUGAGACACGGCCCAGACUCCUACGGGAGGCAGCAGUGGGGAAUAUUGCACAAUGGGCGCAAGCCUGAUGCAGCCAUGCCGCGUGAAUGAUGAAGGCCUUAGGGUUGUAAAAUUCUUUCGCCAAGGAUGAUAAUGACAGUACUUGGUAAAGAAGCCCCGGCUAACUUCGUGCCAGCAGCCGCGGUAAUACAAAGGGGGCUAGCGUUGUUCGGAAUUACUGGGCGUAAAGCGCACGUAGGCGGACUUUUAAGUCAGAUGUGAAAUCCCGAGGUUCAACCUCGGAACUGCAAUUGAAACUGGGAGUCUAGAGAUCAGGAGAGGUUAGGGGGAAUACCGAGUGUAGAGGUGGAAUUCGUAGAUAUUCGGUGGAACACCAGUGGGGAAGGCGGCUAACUGGGACUGAUACUGACGCUGAGGUGCGAAAGUGUGGGGAGCAAACGGGAUUAGAUACCCUGGUAGUCCACACCGUAAACGAUGAGUGCUAGUUGUCUGCAGGCAUGCCUGUAGGUGACGCAGCUAACGCAUUAAGCACUCCGCCUGGGGAGUACGGCCGCAAGGUUAAAACUCAAAGAAAUUGACGGGGGCCCGCACAAGCGGUGGAGCAUGUGGUUUAAUUCGAAGCAACGCGCAGAACCUUACCUACGCUUGACAUGCCUGGACGACUCCGAGAGAUCGGUUUCUCCCUUCGGGGCCAGUGCACAGGUGCUGCAUGGCUGUCGUCAGCUCGUGUCGUGAGAUGUUGGGUUAAGUCCCGCAACGAGCGCAACCCUCAUCCUUAGUUGCCAUCACGUUUGGGUGGGCACUCUAGGGAAACUGCCGGUGCUAAGCCGGAGGAAGGCGGGGAUGACGUCAAGUCCUCAUGGCCCUUACGCGUAGGGCUACACACGUGCUACAAUGGCAGUGACAAUGGGAUAAUCCCCAAAAGCUGUCUCAGUUCGGAUUGUCGGCUGCAACUCGCCGGCAUGAAGUUGGAAUCGCUAGUAAUCGUGGAUCAGCAUGCCACGGUGAAUACGUUCCCGGGCCUUGUACACACCGCCCGUCACACCAUGGGAGUUGGAUCUACCCGAAGAUUGUGAGCUAACUUCGGAGGCAGCAAGCCACGGUAGGUUCAGCGACUGGGGUG